rnacentral:rRNA from 1 species
AGAUAGCCAUGCAGGUCUAAGUACAUGCCGAAAUAGGGUGAGAACCGCGAAUGGCUCAUUAUAUCAGUUGUGGUUCCUUAGAUCUUCGGUUACAAUUGGAUAACCCUGUCAAAUUUAGAGCUAAUACAUGCAUCCUAGCACCGACCUUCGGGAAGGUGUGUUUUUAUUAGCCCAAAACCAAUCGUUUCCUUCGGGUGACGAACUGUUGGUGACUCAGAGUAACUUGGUUCUGAUCGCAUGGCUUCGUGCCGGCGACGCAUCUUUCAAAUGUCUGCCUUAUCAACUUGUUGGUUGGUUAAAUGCCAACCAAGGUGGUAACGGGUAACGGAGAAUCAGGGUUCGAUACCGGAGAGGGAGCCUGAGAAACGGCUACCACAUCCAAGGAAGGCAGCAGGCACGCAAAUUACCCACUCCCAGCUCGGGGAGGUAGUGACGAAAAAUAACAAUACCGGACUCUUCCGAGGCUCGGUAAUUGGAAUGGGUACACUUCAAAUCCUUUAACGAGUAUCUAUUGGAGGGCAAGUCUGGUGCCAGCAGCCGCGGUAAUUCCAGCUCCAAUAGCGUAUAUUAAAGUUGCUGCGGUUAAAAAGCUCGUAGUUGGAUCUCAGUCUCGAUCGGACGGUCUGCUAUUUGGCGGUACUGGACGAAUCGGACAUUCCGCCGCCUUUCGCAGUAUGCUCUUGACUGAGUGUAUUGUGACAGUGGCAAAUUUACUUUGAAAAAAUUAGAGUGCUCAAAGCAGGCAAUCGCCUGAAUCUUCGUGCAUGGAAUGAUGGAAUAGGGCCUCGGUUCUAUUUUGUUGGUUUCCGGAACUCGAGGUAAUGAUUAAGAGGGACGGACGGGGGCAUUCGUAUUGCGACGUUAGAGGUGGAAAUUCUNAGAUCGUCGCAAGACGAACUACUGCGAAAGCAUUUGCCAAGAAUG